rnacentral:lncRNA from 1 species
UUUCAACGGCAUAUCCUUGAAGGUGAUAUUCCCUUUUUUUAUUUUUUGUUUAAUAUACAAAAAAUCGGAAAAUAAAUAAAGCAAACAAAGAAAUAAAAGAUCUAAGUCGAAAUUCACCUCUUUUGAUUUUAUUUCACUGUUUUUUUCAAUUUACAGUCCUCUCCCCCAUUACAUAUUUUAAUCGGCUUUUAAAUAGUCGAAAAUAACAAUGAAAAUAAUAAAAAUAAAAAAUAGAAAAUAGAAAAUCCCCUCUUUUUCGUUAUUUUGCUGUAGUCGUUGGCUGUUUGUUGCUGUAGGUUCGUGCGUGACGUGCGCGGGGUGGUCGAUUCCGAGACGUGCGGCG